CGAACGCUGGCGGCGUGCUUAACACAUGCAAGUCGAACGGAAAGGCCCAGCUUUUGUGGGGUGCUCGAGUGGCGAACGGGUGAGUAACACGUGAGUAACCUGCCCUUGACUUUGGGAUAACUUCAGGAAACUGGGGCUAAUACCGGAUAGGAGCUCCUGCUGCAUGGUGGGGGUUGGAAAGUUUCGGCGGUUGGGGAUGGACUCGCGGCUUAUCAGCUUGUUGGUGGGGUAGUGGCUUACCAAGGCUUUGACGGGUAGCCGGCCUGAGAGGGUGACCGGCCACAUUGGGACUGAGAUACGGCCCAGACUCCUACGGGAGGCAGCAGUGGGGAAUAUUGCACAAUGGGCGGAAGCCUGAUGCAGCAACGCCGCGUGCGGGAUGACGGCCUUCGGGUUGUAAACCGCUUUCGCCUGUGACGAAGCGUGAGUGACGGUAAUGGGUAAAGAAGCACCGGCUAACUACGUG
rnacentral:rRNA from 1 species